UGAAGAUUAUGAAGACGGCGACCGAAACAAUGAUGGUAGCUUUGAUGUUGUUGCUGCUGAAAAUGAGAUGAAGACGACGACAGAGACAAGUAUGAAUGAUGUACGGCCAUUUGUGUGGUUUCGUGAGCUUCGUCCUGAUGAGUUUGAGGCGUAUGUCCCUCCUUCACCGGCUAAUACUGAUUUGGUCUCUAAGUGGCGGAAUAAGAACCGGAUGAAGACGGGAUGUGUUGCCCUUGUUCUGUGUUUGAACAUCGGCGUUCCUCCACCAGAUGUAAUAAGGGUAUCUCCUUGUGCUCGGAUGCAGUGUUGGAUUGAUCCAUAUUCUAUGCCACCUCAAAGAGCCCUUGA
rnacentral:misc_RNA from 1 species